rnacentral:lncRNA from 1 species
UCAAUUCUGUUACGCAUGCAGCGGUGGGCUGUGCAACCAUUAACGGAUAUAUAUUCAAUUUAAAAAAUCAAGUGGAUAAACCUAUUGGAUAAGGUGGGAGUACAUACUCUUGGGAGUACAAAAGAGGAGUCCUACCACAACAUUGGACCACGCAUGAGACCAAAUCUUAUCGUCCAUGUAUAACUUCUGUAGUCUAGCCUGCAUGUAUAUGCUCUGCCCCUUCACCAUAAUCAAGUCAUCUAGUUCAGCUCUUAGCAUAAAAUAAAUAUAACUGAGCAAAGCAAACACGUGUGAACUAUUGGAAGUUAAGUCGGUUUUCUAUUGGUCUUUUUGUGGUUGGCCUAUAAAGGAUCAAAUAAGGCGAUGAAAAUUAAAAUUAAAACAGGGAGAAAGAACAAAAGAAUUUGAGAAAACUUAUGGUACAUAGAUCCGUUUGUUCGAUAGAUUCAGAUUUGUCAAGUGAGAAAACUUAUGGUGCAUAAAUACCUUAAGAACAUACAAAACGCACCUGAAGCCCCU